rnacentral:sRNA from 1 species
AUUAACUUUUGAUUGGCUUAGGACAAAAAGGUUGUUUCAAGAAGAAGAAGAAGGAGAAGAAGAAGAUGAUCAAGACUUGUUCUACUUCGUGAUAGAAACAAUGACGCUAUCUUACCUGAGCUUUACUAAUUGGUAUAUUCCCUUUUUCUGGUCUUUUUUUCUUGACCUUGUAAGACCUUUUCUCUACUCUUUUCUGUCUUCUUACUAUUUCCAUCUUCGAGAUUUCUCAAUUCUGUCGAGUUUCUACAUUAGUUGUUUAAUUUGACUAAAUCGAUCAAGAUUUUGUUGUAUACUCUUAUGAUUCAUAUUCCCACUCUUUUAUGUAUCCCUCUUGAGCUGCCUAAUUUUUUUUUUCUCUAAUCUCUCUUACUAUGUAUUUCUU